rnacentral:misc_RNA from 1 species
AACGCACCUUGCGCCCUUUGGUAUUCCGAAGGGCAUGCCUGUUUGAGUGUCAUUAAAUUCUCAACCUCCCCUUCUUUUAUUAGGAGUGCGGUGGAUUGGAUAUGGGGGUUUGCUGGUUUCUAACGAGAUCAGCUCCUCUGAAAUGCAUUAGCAGAAACCGUUUGACUUUGGCUGCUAGGCUGUGAUAAUAUCUACGCCUUGUAGUUAGGUCGGAAUACGAGUCAUACAGUGGUAACUAAUCAGGCUUUCGGGUCUGGCUUAGAAUCGGUUUGGAAGGUGCUUAACGGCUCCUUCUGCUUUCUCCCUUUGCGGAGAUACUUGUCCGAUUUUAAGAGAGGAGUUGCUUAGCGCGAGCUUAGCUUUCCUUGAUUUUUCCCUUUGACUUUGUAGAAGGAUUCAGCUUCUAACCGUCCAUUGACUUGGACAAUUUAUUGACUAUUUGACCUCAAAUCAGGUAGGACUACCCGCUGAACUUAA